AAAGAAAGAAAAGAAAGAAACACAGGGCGAAAGGUUCAGAAUUCGUGCUGUAUUCUUUUCUGCAUCUCGAUGAUUUGCUGUUGUUGCUGUUCUUCUUCUUGUUCUUCUUAUCUUCUUCUUCUUCUUCUU
rnacentral:ribozyme from 1 species